rnacentral:snRNA from 1 species
AUGCUCGCUUUGGGAGCACAUAUACUAAAAUUGGAACGAUACAGAGAAGAUGAGCAUGGCCCCUGCACAAGGAUGACAUGUAAAUUUUUUAAAUUAAAAAAAAAAAA